GGGAAGUAUACAUACGAAGGGAAUACUGCUAAACGAAUCAAUAAUGGCUCAAUAACAAAGUCAGAGUAGCACAACGAAAUCCAUAUUUCAUCAAAGACCUCAUAACAAGGUUCUUUCCUGAUUAAAGUAAUAGUGAUCGCCUCACCAAGUCUCAUAGCUCUCGGCCUUUCCCGGUCCAUAGUUGGAAAUGUUGGCGGAUCCACUCAGUACAUGUAUCAUUCCUCCCAUAGCAUUUAGCCAUCAAAACAUAAAUCAUACAUAUCACGAUGCCCCCACCCCAAAAAAUACCAAUGGAUUUCAACAGAUAGAACACAUGCUCAAGAGGAAUACAAAAAUCAGAUAUUUUAGAAAAUAACUCCGGAGUUUAAGAAAGCAUAUUGUAUACAUCCUGUUUACCUCAAAUUGACUCAUUGAUAUGUAGACUGGAUCCAUGAUCAUCAUACUAAAUGUCACUUGAUCCGACAUAAUAUCACGUGCUCUACAUCCAUUGUCUUUCAUUCAUCAAAGACUAACCACACUCUUAGUAGAGGACUUGGUCAUUCUCUCGUUUUUUACAUAUCAGGACCUCUCUCUCUUCUUUCCUUUCUUCUUCCCCUCCGUGCAUCGCUCUCUCAGUUCACCCUUCCUCUCGUUAAUAUAUAAUCUAUGUCUAUAUAAAUAAUAAUAAUAGAUUUCUAUUAUUUUUUUCUUUCUUUUCUUUUUCUUUUGUCCCCCAUUAUGCAUUUCUUUCUUUUUUUUACUUUCUUUGGCUUUCCACCGAAAGUCACACUACACUAACUAAAAAUGCACUGUUACCCCGUCAUCUUUUACAUAAUUAUUGAUAUUAUUUAAAUUAAAUAUUCUGCUUUAAUUUUAUCCCAAAAGUUAUAAAGCUGUGCAAUUAUAACCCAAAACAGAAAAAAUCACGGUUAUUACAAAAACAUACCACUUUUCUAAUUUAGAUUAAGAUCUGUUUGUACAGGACUUACCCUAAAUAUUGUGGAUAAAUUUGUUGAUUUGGCCCUUGUUUCCGCAUUAGGGUGCUGGAGCCACUAAUUAAGAAUUGGAGGGUCCAUUCUGUAUUAUUAGGAACUACUGACAUUAUAAAAGUUUGUACAAGUUUGGGACUGUGACAUAAUGAUGACGCCACUCUGACUGUUUUCCUACGUCAGGAGUAAUGGCCUUGGAACAAAUGGACAUGGUAAAAACUAAAACUAUAAGGAACUGGUGAUAGCCGAAGGACAACUUUUCUUCCGAUAAUUUUUUCUAUUCGCUUUUGAUGGUUUAAAAUAUCACGGAUAUUUUUUUCUAAGGCGGCGGAUGGAGGCUUAUAUAUAUAUAUAUAUAUAUAUAUAUAUAUAUAUCCUAUAUAUAUAUAUAUAUUUUUAUAUCUAAAUAUUUUAUAUUUUUCUUCUUAUCCCCACCCGUAUCCCACUUAUCUAAAAAGUAAUCCAAAUAAAGUUAAAACUUUCCCUCUCAAGCCCAAAGCCAGUCAUUUUAACAGAUUCGUUCUAUUAAAGCCUUAUUGGUACAAAUUUUUUGGGAUGUAUUUUUAUUAACAUUAUUUAUAUUUUUUUUGGUUCAUUGGCCUGAGUGGUUUUCGUUUGCGUGGCAUUGAUCUUUUAGUUUUUUUUUUGGAAUUCGUUUAGCCUAAUUUUUUUAAUAAACUCUACUUAUUAGUGAUUCUUUAUAAUUCAUAACUAAAAUUUAACAUUUUUAUCUUCACUCAAAAAAAAAAAAGAAAAAAAAAAAAAGAAGAAAAAUUAAAUUAUUUUAUUUCACUUUUCAAUAUUUUCGUCAAAAGUAAAAGAAUGAACUUUUUUAGUCCCCGCCCUUGCCAAACAAGACUUAACUAACAAAUCUUUACAUAUUUCUUUCUUUUUUUCUAGAUUUUUUUGGGAGAUUCAAUUUACGAUUUAUAGACUCAUUUUCUAGCAUAAAACUUUUUUUUAUUCUAUCCGGAUAUCCUUGCACUCUCCUAAGUCCCCAUUCUUCCUUCUCCGGCGGCUGUCUAACUAAUUUUCCGAGGACUUAAAACUAGAAAACCGAACAAAUAAAAUACUGGCCACCAACGGAGCUAGAAACAAUGUGUUUCCUCUUGUAUAUAAAAUAUAUGAAUUGGGUUUAGAAAGCCAUUUGAGGCCCGUUUGGUAACGUUAAAAGUUACGUUUUUUUUAAAUUUGUUAUUAAAAAGACUAAAAGUUUUUUGCAUUUUUAGUUUUGUGACUUUACUGUAAUUAAACAUUAAGCAAAAAAGCAAAAACAGAAAGAACAAAAGCCAAUUCUGAUUUAUUUUUUUACUUAUUUUAAAUUAAAAAAUUAAAAAAAAUUGAAAAAACCUGAUACCCAAACGAGACUAAUAGUCAAUGAGACUUGGGUAGAAGUUAGGGUGUCCAAAAAAAACCAAAAAUCUGUGUUUAAAACGAAAUCGAACAAACCCAGCCAUUUUGGAUUGGAUUAUGGUUUAAUGGUUACGGUCGGAUUUUAAAAAUUAGAAAACGGUAAAUUUGGUUCGGUUACAGUUUUUAUUUUCAAACCGUGAUUCAAACGAGCCGAACCGAAAUCGAUAUAUAUAUAUAUAUGGAGUUGUAUAUAUAAACGCGUACAUAUAUUUAUCUAGAAUAUUAAUUCUACACCUACACGUGAUUUACUUUAGCUUUCUUCCCAACAAGACAUGUUUCACUUCCUAUAGAUAUAUGUUACUCUAUCCAUGUUCCAUCAAAACCCUUUCACAUCUUUUUCUAUCCAAAAUUUAUCAGUUAAUUUUCUUUUGUUAUCCAUUAUGAAUUCUUGUUCAGUUCUUCGUUUAUUCCUUUUUAUUGUAUCUAUUAUGAAUUCUAAACUUUUAUGGGAGUUGUAAUGCAAUAUAGACUUGGUUGAUGUAAUAUCAUUUAGGAGUCAAUCUAUGAACUAUGGUAUACGGGUAUUUAAAUAAAUAAUUUUGUUUGUAAUUUGAUUUUUAUAAAAAAUUUAAAAUAUUAAUUGGAUUUGAAUCGGAACCGAACUGAUAAAGCGAAUCGGUUUUGUUUGGUUCUCUACUUUGUAAUUGAUUAGGUGUAUAUACUUGUAAUGGGUAUGUCGUAUCUUAUUUUUUCAGAACGUUAAACAUGGUAUAGUUACUGAAAUUCUUAUAUAACCGGAGCAAUCGGACCAUGAACACCUAGUAAAAGUCACAUUGGAGGUGUGUGAUCUCUUUUCCUUUCUUUAAUUUAAUAAUCUAGUUGAGCCGCCACAUAAUUCUGUGAGGAUAUGCAAUAGGUGGUGCUUACGUAGUGUGAAAUAGUGAGUGAGAGGUUAGAGAGAGAAAUAAAAGAACGAAGCUAAGAAGAAAAAAAUAUGGGUUAAUUGAAAUUGGAAAAUCCAUUUUUAGAGGAAAGAAUUUGGUGAUGACCCAACGAAAUUAUCAAUUACGCCCAUGUUUUGGAAGGUGCCAACCCGGUAAUUUUGACCAAAGUGGAGUACCUAUGGCCCUAAAAAAGGACCCUCUUACCAUUUUUUGACAUGAAGAUUUCAUUUUUGAGAUAGUUUAAUCCACAAAAUCGAUUCUAAUAAUAUUGGACCUAUUAUGAUUGUAAUUCAGGGUAACUCAUUGAAUCGUGCAUUAGAUAGAAUACAAACUGGACCGAUCGAGCUUCUCACGUGGUGUCCAGUUCGGGUUCGUGGUUAACGGCGGGCUUCGGCCAAAUCCUGGCCGAAUGGUGGGCAGGAUCACCGAUUGGCAUUUUUUUCACCUCUAAUCUUGCAUUCCGAGUUUCAAUGGUGGCAGGAUCACCGCGAUCUGGCCUUUUUUUCACCUCUAAUCUUGCAUCCGAGUUUUCAUCUUGAUCAACAGGUGAGUUUUUCUUGUGACACGUAAUUUUAAUAAAAAUUACCCAUGAAUUGUGUUUUAAAGAGAGGUAACUUAAAUUUCAUGAUUUAAAUUAUUCGUUUAGCCAUUAUUAUCCAUUCUUUUCAUAGCAGAAGAUGUUUUUAAGGCCCUGUUGGGUAUAAUUAUUUUGGGAUUUUAAGAUUUCAUUGUUUUCAAGUUAUUCGUUUUAGUGAUUUUUUUCAUGUUGUAUUAAUUUUAUAUAUAUAUAUAUAUAUAUCUGAUAUAAUAUAUUAUAUCACAAAAAAGUUAAGAUGAUGAGAAGAUGAUGCAUAUACACUUGUUUGAUUGUAUUUUUGGUAUCAAAUAUGUGGAUGUACAAAUUAAAUAUAAAUUAAUUUGUAAUACGUGAUGUAUUUAAAAUGUUUUCUUUGAAUAUGUUGAAAUUUUGAUAAAAUGAAUAUGUUAAAUUUGUAUUUGAGAAUUAAAAAUUUAUUUUUUAUUUUUCCUAAGUUCAGAUAUUCUGUAUACCCCUAAUUACUCGUAUUUGUUGCGGGGCGGGCCAGGGGGGUUGAUGGGGUCAGCUGCUCCCCAUCAUCAUUUGAAAAUGUUAAAAAAAAAAUUUUUUUAGUGUUUUCAAAUGGUUAAAAAAAUAUUUUUUUUAUGUGUAUAUAAUGUUUUAAAAAAAAUUGAAACCCAUAAAAAAAAUAUAAAGAAUAUAUGACAACAUUAAUAAAAAAUUCUAGAGUCCGCCAUUGUUUGUUUGGUUGGGUUUGAGUUAAUAGUAAUAUUCAAUAUCCUUUCCGUAUUUUAUUAGUAUGUGAGUAUAAAAGUCAAUUUGGUAAUAUAGAUAUUCGGUGAAAUGCUAGUGUACAUCAGGUGCACACAUAAUGAAGAACAGCCACACACACAAGAACCUGGGCCCCCACAAAGGAGUUGGUCCCCACACCAAGCUUUGUGUGUGUGGUUUCAUUAUUUGUGCACCUUUGGGUUUACACAUAGCAUUUUCCAUGUAUAUUCCUCCCAUUCCGUAUUUGGAUAUUGUUCGAAUAUGAUAUACGGAGAGACUCCGAAUUGCAUCCAUGAUUCGUUGCGGUCCCUAUUACUUGUUGUAAUAUUGUGAUACCAGCUUAAUGAUUUGGCAUCAUAUGCACUCAUUUUUGUUUUCGCUACUCACAAGUUUAAGAACAGAUAUAAAAUGAAGAGAAGGAAACUGGACACAGAGAUAGAGCGGGGAGAGCGGGAUGAAGAUCACGGCCCUUGUUGGUGCUGCAAUGCACCCUGAAGGAUCCGACCACGGUUGAUACUGGCGAACGCAGUCGGACGUGAACCACUUCGGCUACUUUCCCAAUGUCCAGCGUCUAGAUAAUUCAUCGUCUUCUUGUGCCGGACCGUCGCCAAGCGACACCACCCUCCCAGCGCAAUUCCUUUCAACACGAAAGUUCCCAUUCCUCAGCUUCUCCUCCGAAUAUUGUUUUGGAUCUCGUAAUUCUCAUAAUUUGGCAUUCUAAAUUUUUUAAGGUUAGAUGUAAAUAUAUUUUGUAAUUAGGUUUUGUUUUAAUUUUACACGAGGGUCCCAUUCCUUAACUCUUCCUCACCGAUUAAGGGUUUGAAAAUCUUGGAAUUAAUUUUUUUAUAUCACGCAUUAUUUGACAUCGGUCCUCAAUCAAUCGGGUUGAUUUCCGUUUUGUACUCAUUGGGUUUUUUUUAUUUUGGUGAGAAAUAUUGAAAGUACUUGUGGUUUUGUGAAUCAAGGUUGAUUUUGCGUUGUUUCGUGUCUCUGAAACUCGAAAUUCAGUAUUGUUUUGGGAAGAAAUAGAAUAAGGUCCAUGGUUGUGGUAUUGGGAUGGUGAUUUGGAUUUGAAUCUCGAUACCAUUUUGGUCCUGUUAGCAUGACACUCUUCUAAAUUUUGUAAAGUACCCCGUUUUGGACACCCCAACACUCGAGAAAACAAAUUGGUGGGUUGAGAUCCGGUACGAAAAAUUUAGUUGGACAUGGCCCUAGAAAAAAUAUUUUGGAUUCAAAUAUCCGUGAUUAUGUAUAUAACUCUUAUAUUACAAUGUUUCAUGGUUUAAAAAUGCACCUUGUAAACAUCUUUACGCCUCCGGCGAAAAUAUCCUCGGAAAUAUACUAGGAAUAUGAAUGUGGCUAUCCCCGUGUCCUUGAAAAGAAAUUAGAUGAAUCUGACUCUUGGACAGUUACCCACACCCGACACUUGUACCCGAGUCCAUAUAACGUAGAUUUUUGUUAUUUUUGUGGUUAAGAAAUUAGGCCUGUGGACAACGUCAGUUGUUUGGUGGAGAAUUGGAAGAACGCUGGUUGAUAUUAUUUGAGUUUGCUGAGGCAAUUUGGUGGAACCUCGAUUAACUUUUGAAGCUCGAUCCGCUUCCGACAAUAUUUGAAAGCGAAUCAGGCUAAUGAAUUCUCAGUACUAUUUCGGUUUGGACAUUGGCUUGUUCAAUGAAGCUUUGCCUGGUUUGGACGUGAGCCAUUUUGGCUACUUCUAGAGAUCCAGCACAGAGAAUUCACAUCGUCUUGCUUGUCCGACCAUUUCCGAAAGCGGGACCUACGUGCGCGGCCUUACAUGCCAUUCCUUUCAAGACAAAGGUCCCAUUUCUCAAACUCUCAUAGCAUUGUUGAGUCUUUUAGUUUUGGUGAUAAUCCGUCCAACACAAAGGUCCGAUUUCUCAACUCUCUGGAUCUUUUUUUUUUUCUUUUUUUCCCGUUAGAAAUUAGGAGAUAUUUUAAUGAUUUUAAGUAUUUCAGUAAAGAAAUUGCAGGAACUGCUGGUUUGAUAUUUGAGAUGCUGAGUGCUUUAAAGCUUGAUCCUCUUUGUGGGAAUUUUUCUUUUUCUUUUUCUGUUCCUUGAAUAAUUAGUCUCUCUGCAAUCGACACGUUAAAUUCUUUGGAAGCACUGCCAUUGUUUAAUUAUGGGGGUCUACUAUGGAACGAUAUGGUCUUAGCGAUGGUGGGGAGGUUGGGGGAUGCCCAAAGGGGGGAUUGGAGGAUUGCUGUUUGGAGUUUGCCCGACUUGUUUUGGUCUCGUAUAAUUCUUGUCAAGUGCCUGGUAGCUUGGAGAAUGUAAGUUCUUCUAAAGUGAUGCUGGUAAUGGUGGUUGUGAUCUGGUGUGGUAACGCCGUGAGUUUGGAUUGACAAUCAUUAUAAAAUAGUGAUAUAGCUGGGCGCCAUGACUACAGAAUUUGUUCUUCACUGGGCAAGUUGAUUGAAUUUAAUGGAGGAAUCGGAUUGAUAUUAAAAUGAAAGGUCAAAAUUUAAGUUGAACAAACUCAACAAAGUGAAACUUUAGGGUUUUGAUAUAUGUUUCAAUGGGCCAACUCUGUGGUUAUGGUUUGUAAUUUCAAGUAAGUUAAAAAUUCCAGGAGAAAUUUAGUCACUCGUCUUGGCUUACAUAGGUACCAAAAAUGAAUAGUCAUUAUUGUUAUGAGGCAUUAUGCUGGUAAUUUCUUUCUUUGAGAAUCAAGAAUUAUGUUUAGAAGUGGUGUGCUUCCGAGAUAAAAUGAGGUAGCACUGCCUUGUUUUGCAAUGCAGAUUACUGAAAGUCACACUGUUUUUUACAUCGUGCGAAGCUUUGUCCAUAUCAUUUUUUGAAUUGGCGAGCUUAUGAGUCUUAAUGUUUUCUGCUUCACGAGUAUAAAAGUACAUUCAACAUUAGGAAUGGCCUUUGUGCAGUGGGUUUUUCAGGGAUGAUCACUUAUCCAGUCCGAAGUGCAUUUUCUUACUUAACCAGGUAAUAUCAUUUUAUUGCUUGCAUUUUUUCCUGUAUUUGUGUACAUUUUUUGUACAUGUCUAUAUUUUAAUUUGUGGCUUUAUGUGAGGCUGAAAUAUUCGGUUUCCUUAUCUGCUGGAUACGCCAUACGUUAAAGCUCGAUUUUGUAUUAAUGGGAAACUUUUAAGGGAAUUGAAUGAGACUUUGGGUCUGCAAUUAUUCCCUGGUUGUUUGAACAUACUGGCAUAGGAAAUUAGUUUCCCGCCCAACUCGAGUCAUUUCCCCAACGAAACAAUAAAUGAACACUAUCCCCUCCCAUUUGUAAAUCUCAAGUUUUCCACUCAAUCCAUAAAAGAAGGAAAGAUAAACAAAAAAUAAAAUUCCUAAAAAAUAGUUUGUUUUUUUAUAUAAUAUUUCUGAAUAAUCAUCUACAUGCUGCGCAAAACUCUCUAUUUUUAUUUUAAGAAAGAUAAUUGGAUUUAAGUUCCCGGUGAACUUCUUUUAAUAUGCAUCUUGUUCAUAGUUAUUGAUUUUACUUAACCCUUCCUUGAUAUACUUCAAAAAGGUGAUUUUUCAAAAUUUUCUCAAAUUGAGUGAGGUUCAAGCCUUGCAACGUAGUCAUUAUUGGAAAAAGUAUAUUCAAAGGGUUGAUGUUGUAUUGAACUCCUUUUCAUAUGUUAGAUGAUACCAAGAAGACUUUAUGGUGAUUCUUGGAGAUCUGUGCAAGCUGAUAAUACCCCAACUGUGCCCUAUUUGAAUGAAGCCUCUCACCAAAUUUCAGGUAUUUUCCAACUUUUCUUGUAAGUUGUUACAGAAUUUUAAUAACCCAUUAUUUCUGUUUUUCAAGUAUAACCUUUCAGUUUAUUUCUUGACCUGUUUUCUGAGCUGAAACUAACAAUCGUUUCCUUUCCUUGUUUUCUCUUUCUUCAGGACCCUGCUGAGCUGACAAGUUUGCUGAAAAUUCAGAGGGAUUGUGAUGAAAACAAAAAUUAUUCUUGUAAGUGUUGAGUUAUAAUGCAUUAGGCUUAAGGAUCUUUAAAUGCAGUCUUGGUUGCGGUUCCUUUCCUUUUUAUUUGGCAUCUUAUAUUGUAUUGUCAUAAUUAUAUAAAUAUGGUUAGUUGAUGUCUUUGUUUUUGAAAAAUUGGCUUAUUCAUACCAUACCUUUCUUCGUAAACAUGUCUUGAUCUCUAGUUAAAUGCAAAUGGGAAACUCCUGCGAUUCUUUAAUACUUGUGCCAUACUUGGGUAUCAAAUUGUGUAGGCAUAAUUAUAUAACUGAAUGAGGGUUUCUGAAUGAAUUUUUUAUCCGGAUAAGCUUAUUGGAGGGUAGCAUAUUUGGUACACUUGUCAUUAUUUUAUAUUGGCAAUUAGAUCUGCAUAUUGUGAAUCCUGCCUAGUCCUUUAUUAAUUUGCCCCCUCUUUGUUCUUUGUGUUGACUUGUGGACCUUCCUUUGGUACAGCAUAAACCAUUGAUAGCGUGCUUCCACGAGGUGAGCAGCUGGUAGUUUUAGUUGAGAAGAUUCAGAUCUUAGUGUGCAGCUUCACUGUAAUCUGCAUAAUUUGCGCUUAUGUUUCUGGAUUGUUUCUUCCAGCAACAGAUACCAAAUUUCCAUUCACAUGCUCAUCUAUUUACACCCAAUUAUAUAUGUAAAAAGUCUAAAGGUCAAGUACGAAUUUGAAACAAAAACCGUAUAGUUGCAUAGUCUUGGCUGAUUAUGUAUCGCCUAAAUAUCAACACAUACAAUUUGCGUGAAGCAAUUGUUGGGCCCACUUGUUAGUUUAAUUAUGAUGUCAAACAGCUGUUUCCACAGUCAGCUCUUCAAUCCGCAAGUUAUUGUUUUGGGGUGUUUUGUUUUCUUCUUCUUCGGCUUUGUUUGCUUUGAGUAAUUUGCUCGGAUUUGUUGAGUCAUUCAGGUGAUUUGUGAUUUGGUAAUCUGAUUUGAUUGCUGACAGAGAAAAUUUUCCAGCAUAUUCAAAGACUCUUUAAGGCUUAAGAAAUUCCAACACAGACCUCUCAUAUGUGUGUGCACGCGCACUACUAAUCCAGUUCAUAGUUGCAACGAAACUCUAUUUGACAAGGGAAACACAUUUCCGCAUAAUUGUGUUUUCCAAUAUCAAUAUGAUGCAAAUGUGCAUAUUUUUUACAAAGGCUGUAGAUACUUUUGGGAAAAAUUUUCGACGCUUUGAGAAAUGUUAUAAGGAUACUCCAAAGGAUGCAGGGAAAACUGGUAUUAUGAAAAAAAAGUAAAAAAUGGAAUGACAGAAGAACUUUGAACAUUUUUUUGCAACAAGACUUGUGAUUGUGGUUCUGUGAUGCAUGUUUUGGGAAGAAAAGAUCAGUGUGUCAAAUUUAAUGAUAGUUGCUUGAUUUUUUAUUAAGAGAUUUGUGAUGUGUGGAUCAUACUUGUCAUUUAGAGCUCAUAUUUCAUGUGGGACGCAUCACUUUGCUCAUAAUGUCAACCACAGAACACACGUUUAUCUCUAAUACA
rnacentral:lncRNA from 1 species